rnacentral:rRNA from 1 species
CCUACGGGUGGCAGCAGUGAGGAAUAUUGGUCAAUGGGCGCGAGCCUGAACCAGCCAAGUCGCGUGAGGGAUGACGGUCCUACGGAUUGUAAACCUCUUUUGCCGGGGAGCAAGCGUGCGUUCGUGAACGCACGUCGAGAGUACCCGGAGAAAAAGCAUCGGCUAACUCCGUGCCAGCAGCCGCGGUCAUACGGAGGAUGCGAGCGUUAUCCGGACUUAUUUGGUUUAAAGGGUGCGUAGGCGGGAUGCCAAGUCAGCGGUAAAAAUGCGGUGCUCAAUGCCGUCGAGCCGUUGAAACUGGCGUGCUUGAGUGGGCGAGAAGUAUGCGGAAUGCGGGGUGUAGCGGUGAAAUGCAUAGAUAUCACGCAGAACUCCGAUUGCGAAGGCAGCAUACCGGCGCCCUACUGACGCUGAGGCACGAAAGCGUGGGUAUCGAACAGGAUUAGAUACCUGUAGUC